ACACACACACACACACACACACGUGCUAAUCAGGUGAUGUAAGAUAUGUUAGGACCACCACAGUACACCAUAGCACUCAAUUCACACACCUUGCUUUAUUCUUAAGUAUGUAGGUUUUUUUUUUUUAACGAAAUUGGAAUUAUCAUAGAUAAUAAACUAGUAAUAUAAACACUCCAAGCCCAGACCCUGCUAGCCUAAACACUUGUUACACUAUUUAUCUCAGGCCCAGGAAGAAACAAGGCUAAAGGCCUAUACAUACAAGGACAAUCUAGGACUAACAAUCGGAUAUAGGAUCCAAAACCCACGACCCGGUAACCACCAACAACCAACACCAACACCGCCCACAGAGAGACCAACGCAGCACCGCACAGCUACUAUAUGGGUCAUGGAUCACUCAACAAAUGGGGCAUCACCUAAACAGCAGGCUAGCAAGCAGCGCAGUCAUGAAGAACAACCCCACACAAAGAGUAACACAGGCAUGCAAGCCAAGGGACCACGGAGGUCGAUGUUGGACAAGCAGGGAAGGCAUGGCAGAAACUUGGCUUCUCAGUCUCAUUCAGCCCAGAUAGAAGACAAAAACUGACCUAGUCCCUCAUGCUUCGAGAAAACUGACUUAGUCCCACAUGCUUAAAGAAAACUGACCUAGUCCCACAUCCUUCGAGAUUGCCAGCCGACAAGCCCAAGGAAGAAACAAGUAGAAACUUCAAUCUCUCACAUUAUGAACACUAGAUCUGCAACCCACAAUAACUAAAUACACCAAAACCUAUUCACACCCAAACCGAAAGGAGGAGAGGGAAGAAUCCAUCCUCCCGGCUGGUCAAGAGCCUUCCCCAAUCUUGAAGGGCUGGGGAUGGCUACUGUGUGAAACGGCUGAUAAUAUAUCAAUCUUGUAAUAUAGAAAAUCAAAUGUUCAAAACUGUAACAGUGUCUCUCUCUCUCAAGACAGAACGUCUAUUCAAACCUAUAAGGAAAUCUAUUUCGUGAUAGAAAAUAUCUGAUCAUCACCUGUUAUAAUAGUAUUUUUUUUUUCUUCAUUGUGAGUUAUUCACAUUCCACGAAGUUCUUAAAUGGUAGAAAUAUUAAAGAAAAUAACUAUAAUAAUAUUAUUAAAGCAAAAAUGAAUCAUAAAAAUCCCAAGGGUCAAUAUAUGUUACAUGACUACUAACUGAGACCAAGCUGAAGUCCAAGGGAAGCAUGGACAAGAAAGAGUGUCAUAAUCCCACUGCCCAAGAUCCCAUGAACAUUUCUCAAUCCAGGAUUUCCCUGUGCAUGAUUAGAGUGAGAGAGUAGAACGUGAGAAAUUUGAUAAAUAGCGGGAACAAAAGGAAAGUACAAGACAGAUAAGAUCAUGAACUGUUAAUAUAGCUACUGUUCUUGUUAAUGUUUUUUUUUGUAGCAAACACUGCAAUUCUUACCUCAAAUAAAGCUGGUAAAAGGGUCUGUAUGGACAACAGAGCAAGGCCAAUAAAACCAGUAACAGCAUGAGGACUGCAUACAUAUAAUUAGUAUUCAGCAUAUCAACAAAAUGUAAGGUAAAUGGUCUCUAUUAUGCUAACUGGGGCUAGCUUGGUUGGUUCAUCAGAUAAUUCCAGAUGAAGAUAAUGGGUUUGUUAUCUAGGCCCUUUUCCCGCAAACCUUAAGAAGCUUUAUUACAUUACUGCACUGUUUGCAAUCAAGGACUUGACUGUUAAGGAACAAAGAUGAAAUUUUACUUGCCCUGAAAUCAACUCUACUUAUUGAUUGGGAGGAAGCCUAGCAGAUAGAAGCUUAAGUACCUUUCAAAGAUUGGUUUAUCUGAAGUGAGUAAAGAUGUUACUCCACCAGUUGCUCCAAGAGCAAAGAAGAAAAACAUUCCACCUAGAAGUUUUGGGUGCAAGUCUUUAGCAUUGGCCUUCUCCUCCUGAAUCGUUGUACAUCAAGGUAUUAAACAAUUGAUAAUAGUGGCAAAGAAACAUUUUUUCUUCAUCACAAGUGAACUGUUUCUCAAUGACGCAUCUCACCACAUCAUCAGAAAAACGGAUUCGAAAUCCGAGGUAUGUUCCAUAACCACCCAUUGCAAAGAGGACAACAGCCUAAUAAGUACAGGAAAGUAUUAUGGACAUAAAUAUUUCAGACAAGAGGCUUGCUGGUUAUGAAUGAAUAUGACAGCUAAACAUUUAUUGAGAAGCAAAAUCAAAAGAAUGAAUUAUACCAUAUUCCCAGGAUGACCCCAAUGCACAAGCCAGUCAGGAAGAUUCCAUGAUUUCACAAGCUCAACAAAAGGGCCAAAGAGAGACCUUACAGUACCAGCUGAUAUUUAGAUAUUCAAACUUGUUAUUAAUACUAAAAGAAAGAAAGGAACACAAAUGGAAAUCAGCUUGAGGUGAAGCAGAAUAACUAAGUAGACGUCAGGGAAGGCAGGAAUGAGCAAACAUUAAAUAGUGCAAUAAACAAGAGGCAGCACAUAUCAAACACCAAAGACCAGAAGAAACUCUGAAUUUACUGGAUGGCAUUCAUAUGAAAACACAUCAAACUCCAGUUAUGAAAGCCAAAGUUUCACAAGUAAAAAAAUUGCUAUUGAAAAUGGAAGAACAAAUGGCCUCUGCUAAUUUCAGAGCAUACCAGAAGGCUGAAUUUUGUCCCUGAAUUGAUAUUCGCACUAUAAACACCAACUUGUAUACUAAUCUGUAUCUUACUAUGUGCCUUUACUUCUGUUAAAUUUUACACCCGGAUAUUUUAAAAGCUGCAGAACCUGAACGUACGUACUGUCAAAUAACUAUCUAACUCUAGUAAAGCCACUUUUAUGUUAAUAAACUUAAGCAACUCUCCUCUCAGAAAUUGGUCCAUGCUUGUGCAAGAUAUUCCUGUGCUUCCCAUUUUCUGUGGCAUUCUCUAUGAAACCAAAUCUGCUGUAGCAUUUCAUCAAAUACCCUCUUAUUCUAAUGGACCAUCCCUCAAGGCUACAACCUUUACAAUGCUCUACAAAACCAGGCUUUACAAUACUCCAUAAUUCAAAUGUAAAUAAUAAUGGACCGAUAGAAAUAAAGACAACUUUAAUCCAAUUUAAUUUAAAAAAUGGAGCUUUCACCUUGCAUGUAUAUGUAUCAUUUUACCUCCAGGAAGAACAGACACAAAUAGCAAAGGCAAAGGGGAGAAAGAGUAUAGUAGUGUCUCUUCGAGCUCCUCCACAUGUUCUACUACUUCGUCUUCCCCAGACGCAUCAGCAGCUUCUUCAAUGACCUCAUUCUUGAUCGCAAGAGAUGGAAAGAGGCAUCUUCUCCUUCUAGGGAUAGACAAUGCACAAGGAAAGGACUCAACGAGUGGGAUUCUAAAGAAAGGCGAAGAGGUACUUAGAAAUGAAGAGGAAGGAACAAGAAGAGGAGAAGAGUUAUAUAGAAAUGUAGCCACGGAAGCGUUAACCAUAGCCAUUUCUUGGCUAACACAGAACAAGUACUAGAUAGUGAGUUAUGUGCUGCAAGCUUCCAGAACAAGAGAGAAAAGCAUAGGAGAUAAAGAGAAGAGAAGAGGUGGCUAGCAGCAACGGGCAAGAAAAGGCCAGUCUUUCGACACGCCUGCGCAUUAAUUUAUUCUUUCCACGUGGUUUCCCUCCUUUAU
rnacentral:misc_RNA from 1 species